UCAGAAAAAGUUCUUUGAAUACUAACUUUGGGAGUUAGAGGGUGGUAGGUUUUACCAUUUUUGAA
rnacentral:tRNA from 1 species